GACGUCGAUAUUCGACGUAAUAAACACGAUCAACUUUGUUGUUUAUGACGUCGAUAUUCGACGUCAUAAAUACGAUCAACUUUGGUGUUUAUGACGUCGAUAUACGACCUCAUAAACACGAUCAACUUUGGUGUUUAUGACGUUGAUAUUCGACGUCAUAAACACAAUCAACUUUGGUAUUUAUGACGUCGAUAUUCGACGUAAUAAACACGUUCAACUUUGGUGUUUAUGACGUCGAUAUUCGACGUC
rnacentral:miRNA from 1 species